CAGGCCUGCCAGCAGCCAGCCCUGCUCUCAGAGUGCUCAGUCCCAGCCACAGGGCACGGGGUGCCACACGUGCCUUUCUCCGAGCCCCACCGACUCCUGCCGUGGCAAAUUUAGGGAACCUCUGUUACCCACUUCCAUCCAGCCUCAGAUCUCCAGAAAAUGCUCAACCACCAGCAUUCUGAGGAGAAUACACAUUUCUUCUGGAGGACCUGGGUGCCACCAUAACAAAUCAAGGGAAACUUUCAGGGAUAUGCAAUAAUGGCAGCAGCAAGCUCCGCCUCAGUCUGGCCCUUCCUCCAACCUCUGCUAACCUAAAAACCAGCG
rnacentral:lncRNA from 1 species